UGGCCGUCAUGGCUGCAGCUUCCCAAGUUCAUCCACGUCGCUGUUUGGUUCAAGUUGUUCCAUGUCCUCGUUUACACAUGAAACAGACAAUACCACAGUGAUCUGGCAGCACCGACGGGCCUCGGCCCAGAUCCUCCGUCCCUGAGCAACGCCCAGUGCGGCCCAGGCCAAUCUCACGCCAAGCUGACCAGUUGCGGCCCAGGACAGCGCAGCAUUUGCUUCUUCCCGGAUAGGAUCACGAAGUGUUGUUGUGAGAUACGACGAGUUCUCCGACAAGUUCUUCUGCAGCAUUUCACAGGCGAGC